UACGGGGGGAGCAAGCGUUGUUCGGAUUUACUGGGCGUAAAGGGCGGGUAGGCGGCCACUGCAAGUCGGUUGUGAAAUCUCCGGGCUUAACUCGGAAAGGUCAAUCGAUACUGCAGGGCUAGAGUGCAGAAGGGGCAACUGGAAUUCUCGGUGUAGCGGUGAAAUGCGUAGAUAUCACUUGGAACGCCGACGGUGAAAACAGUCUGCUGGGGGUUUGCUGACGCUGAGACACGAAAGCCAGGGGAGCGAACGGG
rnacentral:rRNA from 1 species